UCGAAAGAGAUGGUGCGAUAAACACGGA
rnacentral:sRNA from 1 species